GACGAACGCUGGCGGCGUGCUUAACACAUGCAAGUCGAGCGGAAAGGCCCUGCUUUUGUGGGGUGCUCGAGUGGCGAACGGGUGAGUAACACGUGAGUAACCUGCCCUUGACUUUGGGAUAACUUCAGGAAACUGGGGCUAAUACCGGAUAGGAGCUCCUGCUGCAUGGUGGGGGUUGGAAAGUUUCGGCGGUUGGGGAUGGACUCGCGGCUUAUCAGCUUGUUGGUGGGGUAGUGGCUUACCAAGGCUUUGACGGGUAGCCGGCCUGAGAGGGUGACCGGCCACAUUGGGACUGAGAUACGGCCCAGACUCCUACGGGAGGCAGCAGUGGGGAAUAUUGCACAAUGGGCGGAAGCCUGAUGCAGCAACGCCGCGUGCGGGAUGACGGCCUUCGGGUUGUAAACCGCUUUCGCCUGUGACGCAGCGUGAGUGACGGUAAUGGGUAAAGAAGCACCGGCUAACUACGUG
rnacentral:rRNA from 1 species